GCCUGUCACUCUGAUGCCUCUCUCUACUCAAAUGGCAGAAACCAACCAGGUACAUCCCAGCCUUCUUGCACAUAGAAACACUACACAGCACUUCAGCUGUAUCUUUGGGGGUCAUUUUAAACAGCAAAAUCAUCAACAGGAAGCAGAAAAUUGUAAAAAUUGUGGAACUAAAUAGACCAUGUAAAGGACACAUGUUUGCAAUAAGAAAGCUGAAACAAGAAGAGGGAGUGUCACCUUAUUUGAUCCAGCUAGAAAAUCAAGUGCUGGUAUUCCAGCAACACUGAGGUGUCUGCUCCAGGAGGCUGCAGAGGGGUCCUUCUCAGCCGUCAACAAAACUGGCUAUGGUCACGCCCACUGGGAAACUCAUUGCUGCCUUCAAGGUGAUGGCCACAGUGGCAGAACCUAGGAAGCCAAGAAGAAACCAGAGAACGGAGACACAUGGCAGCAAUGGCAAGUCAUCAGACCCAGGAUUUCCCAAAGAACACUGGUCCAGGAAGAUGCUCUGUGAAAAAGUGUUCCCCAGUCAGAGAAAUUUGUGAAACACUUUGCAUAAUACUUAAAAUAAUGUAUGGCACAUCAAAGGUAAUAUGCAAUAAGGGAAUUCAUUUUUUAAAACCAA
rnacentral:lncRNA from 1 species